rnacentral:rRNA from 2 species
GGGUUGCGGACAGUGUCUGGUGGGUAGUUUGACUGGGGCGGUCUCCUCCUAAAGAGUAACGGAGGAGCACGAAGGUUGGCUAAUCCUGGUCGGACAUCAGGAGGUUAGUGCAAUGGCAUAAGCCAGCUUGACUGCGAGCGUGACGGCGCGAGCAGGUGCGAAAGCAGGUCAUAGUGAUCCGGUGGUUCUGAAUGGAAGGGCCAUCGCUCAACGGAUAAAAGGUACUCCGGGGAUAACAGGCUGAUACCGCCCAAGAGUUCAUAUCGACGGCGGUGUUUGGCACCUCGAUGUCGGCUCAUCACAUCCUGGGGCUGAAGUAGGUCCCAAGGGUAUGGCUGUUCGCCAUUUAAAGUGGUACGCGAGCUGGGUUUAGAACGUCGUGAGACAGUUCGGUCCCUAUCUGCCGUGGGCGCUGGAGAACUGAGGGGGGCUGCUCCUAGUACGAGAGGACCGGAGUGGACGCAUCACUGGUGUUCGGGUUGUCAUGCCAAUGGCACUGCCCGGUAGCUAAAUGCGGAAGAGAUAAGUGCUGAAAGCAUCUAAGCACGAAACUUGCCCCGAGAUGAGUUCUCCCUGACCCUUUAAGGGUCCUGAAGGAACGUUGAAGACGACGACGUUGAUAGGCCGGGUGUGUAAGCGCAGCGAUGCGUUGAGCUAACCGGUACUAAUGAACCGUGAGGCUUAACCUUACAACGCCGAAGGUGUUU